GACAGAGGGGAGGAGCAAGAGCUGGAGGCUGCAAGCCCCUCUGGGAGGCAGCAGCAGUAGCCUGCUCUGAAGUGAUGGCUGAGGCAGGGAGAGGAAAGCUGCCACUUUCACAGUCCUGAGGGGCAUGCCUGUAGGUGGGGAAGCAGGGUUUCCAGGCUUCUUGAAGAGGAUGGCUCAUAUACUACCAAAAAAAAAAAAAAAAAAAAAAAGAGAGAGAGAGAGAUUUGGUCAGACUCAGGUUUUUGUUAGAAAGGAAGAAGCUGGGGCCAGGUGCGGUGGCUCACGCCUGUAAUCCUAACAGGCUGAGGCAGGAGAAUUGCUUGAACCCAGGAGGUGGAGGUUGCAGUGAGCCCAGAUCACGCCACUGCACUCCAGCCUGGGUGACAGAGUGAGACACUGUCUCAAAAAAAGAAAAAAAAAAAAAAGGAAGAAGCCGGCUGUCUGAUCUCAGAAAAAUGUACAUUGCACAUACGGAUAUAAUCUGUAAAACUUCAGGAGCUUUAGACCCCCAAAAGCCCCAGCUUAAGAAUUCUUGCUGAAGACAAAUCACUCCUUUUCUUACUCAAGAGCUGUUUUCCAGGGCUGAUUAACUACCAUCUUAGAUGUCCAACAGGUGAGUGAAUAUUCAGCACUGAACUCUAGUCAUCCCAUGCCAUUGGCAGAUGGCUGGGUCUCUGCUGUUGCCUGAAGCCAGAAGGAAGCAAAGCCCCUAGACCGAGACCACAUUUUGUUUUUCAAAGGAGCACUCUACUCCACCCCCACCAGAAAACCUCAGACACCCCAGGCCUGGAACACAGACACAAAGUGACAAGACAGAAAUAAAUCUGGUGCAGUAUACAACUACAUCUGUGAAGACAGCCAUAGACUGGGCUCUUCUUGGGCUGGCAG
rnacentral:lncRNA from 1 species